AUUGAACGCUGGCGGCAGGCCUAACACAUGCAAGUCGAGCGGAGCGGCGGACGGGUGAGUAAUUACUAGGAAUCUACCUUGUAGUGGGGGAUAACGUCCGGAAACGGGCCCUAAUACCGCAUACUAUCAGAUGAGCCUAGGGCGGAUGAGCUAGUUGGUGGGGUAACGGCCUACCAUGGCGACGAUCCGUAACUGGUCUGGGAGGAUGAUCAGGCACACUGGAACUGAGAAACGGUCCAGACUCCUACGGGAGGCAGCAGUGGUGAAUAUUGGACAAUGGGCGAAAGCCUGAUCCAGCAAUGCCGCGUGAGUGAAGAAGGUCUUCGGAUUGUAAAGCACUUUAAGUUGGGAGGCGUUACCAACAGAGUAAGCACCGGCUAACUUCGUGCCAGCAGCCGCGGUAAUAC
rnacentral:rRNA from 1 species